rnacentral:lncRNA from 1 species
AUGAUGUCUAAGUGAUAUACACGUUUUUUGUCUCCCUUUAAUUCUCUUUUCUUCUUCUUCUUCUCUAGUUGUUUCUUUAAUGUAUGCGUUCUGCUUCUUCUGCUGGUUUCUUCAACUUUUAUAGAUUCUGAAUUUCUCAACUUUUUCUACCUCAAAAUCUAUGGCAAAAAAGAGUAGUCCAAACUCCAAAAACGAGCUCUGAGGUAAAAAGGAACUCAAGAAUAUUGUGAUCAAGUUUGAUGCAUCUUCGUUCCAUCAGAGAUCAAGUCCAAAGGCAUACACGAGCAGCAAAGCAAAGACAGAUUCAUCUCCGGAUGUAAAAAGAUACCAAGAAAGGAAGAAAUCAUUGUCGCUGAGGAUAUUCAUGUUCUUCCCCUCUUACAUAGAGCAACAUUGUGACCGAAUUUCUAUCAGCACAUACUGGAGUAUUGUUUAGCGUACAAUAAUUUGAUCAAAUUAAUUCUUACAAGGA